CUGGUGCUUGUGAUGAAAAAGGAAAUCCAAUUAUCAAGGACUUCUAUGGCAGCCCGCUUGCCGCAAGUGGUAAGCCUUACGACGAUAUGUUAGUGGCUAAAUUUGAAUGUGUCUAUACUGGUUCUGGUGAUCAAGGUUCCUCCGUGUUUGCAUUUAACAUGGAACAAGGGCUUCCUGUCAUGCCCGAGUGGCUAUUCUUCAACAGAGUGAAUGCUUGGGCAAGAAAAGUUGUUGAAAUUAGUCCUACUCGCCUUCUUUUAAGG